rnacentral:lncRNA from 1 species
GGGGGCGGAGCCAAGCCAGCAAACCGAACAGACGUGCAGAACAGUAGCUCCGUACUAAUAAGCAUAAAAGACCACAGCUAACCGGGAGAAAAACCUCUGGAACACCGCCCAGCACCCCAAUAACACAAUGGGAAAGUGGGCCAAGAAGAUUAAAACAGCCCUGGCCUCAGGAACCCGAAAUAUUGGGGAAUACAUGCAGGGAAACCUCCCGCGUAUGGCGCCCAAAACGCGGACCAACAUGCUUAGAUCUCGUCGUCCGAGGAAGAAGCCUCUCUAGACACACUGGAUGAGAUCCCCCAAGCUGGCGGCCUGCAUAUGGACUCCUCAGAUGAAGAGAACAACACCCCAGCCACAAAAGGCUCCUCAGCAACAUCCGCAAGAUGUUCCAAGCGGACCUAGCAAUACAGAGGAAAGGUAUGCUCUCACUCACAGGGCGAAUCAAGGCCACAGAGGAGACAUCUACUCACCUCAAAGCCGAGUAAACCAAACUUGCCGCAGAGCAGAAGCGGCUAACAGUUUCACAAGCCCCAAUUACACAAAAAAUGACGGAAUAUGAAGACCCCAACCGCUGCAAGAACAUCAAUAUUAGAGGUAUCCCUACCUCGGUGUAGAAGUCUGAACUGCCACAAUAUAUGAGACGCCUGAUUCAGCACAUACUUCCACACAAGCAGGCCAGAAAAAUCCUGAUAGACAAUAUCUACAGAAUCCGCAGGCAGGGCAGACUGCCCCAACAAACAAACAGUGAUGUCAUCAUACAACUUGUCACACACCUGGACAAAAUGGCAAUCAUGGCAGCGGUCAGGGACUCACCCUCCCUGUCCUUUGAGCAGCGCACCCUGACAUUUUAUAAUGACCUCUCAAAGCCUACUAUACUAUGGAGGCAAACCAUGUGCCCGGUCACCAGUGUGCUGAGGCAGAGAAAGACAUUGUACUGCUGGAGCACAACACGCUCUCUCCAGGUCACUGUGGAGGGAACUGUCCAUACGCUACCAUCACCAGUGGAGGGCCAACUGUUCCUCACCCAGCAGGGCAUCACCACACAGAUGGAACCAGGGAAGGGCAGCUGGCGGAGACAACAGUGGGAUGUGGACAACAUCACCCCGUUCGAACCACUAAGAAGUCCCUGCCAUCCACAGCGGACCCAGGAGACUAAAGCCCAGAGACUAUUGGCAUGGGACAUUCAACCAAGUUACACUUCCUCCCUAUCCAUGGCUAGAUUUACAACCCCAGUUGGGGACACCGUCAACGACCUGGUGCUUUAAAGUUUAAAGGACCACUACAGUGCCAGGAAAACAUACUAGUUUUCCUGGCACUAUAGUGCCCUGAGGAUGCCCCCACCCUCAGGGACCCCCUCUCGCCGGGCUCUGGGGAGAGGAAGUGGUUAAACUUACCUCUUUCUCCAGCACCAGGCGGGGAGCUCUCCUCCUCCUCUCCGCCUCCUCUCCUCCAGGAGCUGCGCGCGCAUUCAGCCAGUCUCAUAGGAAAGCAUUCAUCAUGCUUUCCUAUGGACGCUUGCGUCUUCUCACUUUGAUUUUCACAGUGAGAAGCACGCAAACGCCUCUAGCGGCUGUCAAUGAAUUAGAGGCUGGAUUAACCUAUUUAUAAACAUAGCAGUUUCUCUGAAACUGCUAUGUUUAUAAAAAAAAGGGUUAACCCUAGCAGGACCAGGCACCCAGACCAUUAAGCUGAAGUGGUCUGGGUGCCUAUAGUGGUCCUUUAACAUGUUGGAAUGUUUAAUAUGUACAAAUGUAUGCAAGACCACGCUAAUAGAGCUCACCUCGAGCACUACCCGCACAAAGCUCGGACCACCUGCGGUCGGAACACACCCCGGUAGUGACACAUACGUCUCCCAACCAAUUUAAAAAAAAACACACGCUCACCUACUAACCACUCACCUCCACACGACAGCACUGGCGACCCCCAGCCAAGGCUCAGGAGGGCACCACUGGAGCCGACCCUCCCUCUGGCAGCGACACCUGAGCGCCCCCUCCCAGCGAGAACGCUAGUUAUUACAAACACAAAUAUGUACAUCGCACAACCCAGAGCCAUAAUAACCAGGCUCUGACCUCACUCAUACUUACAGGCAGACACCAGCACACACACUAGCAUCUACCCAGACCAAGGGACAACCUCCCGAGUCUCUAAGCAGGCCCUGUAGAGAUAAGCUCAUAUAUAACACACGAGCAACGUUUAGCACAUGAUCAAACACCGCAAUUACGCUAUUUUGAUGAUGUAAAGUUGAAUAUGCAUGUUUAGCUACUAUAUUUUUACCUUUAAAACAAAAAGUGAGUAACAAAACUACUGUACCUCUGUAUUAUAUGUGCACAUCCACAAAUAAAAUGAAGAAUAAAAAAAAUAAAAAAAAGACCAAACAGCCAGGUUUUAUAUAGUAAAAUGGCACUUAAUAUAUAUUUGUAUGGACUCAGGUUGUUAAAGAUGACAACAUUUCUCGGUAUAGUUCUGAAUCUGAAGAACCUGUUCAGAAAUAGUCCUCACGAAGGCUUGGUACAUCUCAAGCGUGAAAGGCAAAACGUUUUAUGCAUGUACGUAUGUUCAUUUCAUAUGGAGGAGCUAACUAUAAAUUACCGACUCAUAUAGUAGGCUAUAAAAC